rnacentral:rRNA from 1 species
UAAUACGGAGGAUGCGAGCGUUAUCCGGAUUUAUUGGGUUUAAAGGGUGCGUAGGCGGACUAAUAAGUCAGUGGUGAAAACCUGCAGCUUAACUGUAGAACUGCCAUUGAUACUGUUGGUCUUGAGUGUGGUCAAGGUAGGCGGAAUGUGUAAUGUAGCGGUGAAAUGCUUAGAUAUUACACAGAACACCGAUUGCGAAGGCAGCUUGCUGGGCCAUUACUGACGCUGAUGCACGAAAGCGUGGGGAUCGAACAGGAUUAGAUACCCUGGUAGUCCACGCCGUAAACGAUGAUCACUCGCUGUUGGCGAUACACAGUCAGCGGCUAAGCAAAAGCAUUAAGUGAUCCACCUGGGGAGUACGGCCGCAAGGCUGAAACUCAAAUGAAUUGACGG